rnacentral:rRNA from 1 species
AUGAUGCAUAGCCGAGUUGAGAGACUGAUCGGCCACAUUGGGACUGAGACACGGCCCAAACUCCUACGGGAGGCAGCAGUAGGGAAUCUUCCACAAUGGACGAAAGUCUGAUGGAGCAACGCCGCGUGAGUGAAGAAGGGUUUCGGCUCGUAAAGCUCUGUUGGUAGUGAAGAAAGAUAGAGGUAGUAACUGGCCUUUAUUUGACGGUAAUUACUUAGAAAGUCACGGCUAACUACGUGCCAGCAGCCGCGGUAAUACGUAGGUGGCAAGCGUUGUCCGGAUUUAUUGGGCGUAAAGCGAGUGCAGGCGGUUCAAUAAGUCUGAUGUGAAAGCCUUCGGCUCAACCGGAGAAUUGCAUCAGAAACUGUUGAACUUGAGUGCAGAAGAGGAGAGUGGAACUCCAUGUGUAGCGGUGGAAUGCGUAGAUAUAUGGAAGAACACCAGUGGCGAAGGCGGCUCUCUGGUCUGCAACUGACGCUGAGGCUCGAAAGCAUGGGUAGCGAACAGGAUUAGAUACCCUGGUAGUCCAUGCCGUAAACGAUGAGUGCUAAGUGUUGGGAGGUUUCCGCCUCUCAGUGCUGCAGCUAACGCA